rnacentral:rRNA from 1 species
UCCUGGCUCAGGAUAAAACGCUGGCGGCGCACAUAAGACAUGCAAGUCGAACGGACUUAACCAUUAGUUUACUAUUGGAGCGGUUAGUGGCGGACUGGUGAGUAACACGUAAGCAACCUGCCUAUCAGAGGGGAACAACAGUUAGAAAUGACUGCUAAUACCGCAUAUGCCAUGAAUAUCACAUGAUAUAAAUGGGAAAGGAGCAAUCCGCUGAUAGAUGGGCUUGCGUCUGAUUAGAUAGUUGUGGGGUAACGGCCUACCAAGUCGACGAUCAGUAGCCGGACUGAGAGGUUGAACGGCCACAUUGGGACUGGGAUACGGCCCAGACUCCUACGGGAGGCAGCAGUCGGGAAUAUUGCGCAAUGGAGGAAACUCUGACGCAGUGACGCCGCGUGCAGGAAGAAGGUUUUCGGAUUGUAAACUGCUUUAGACAGGGAGGAUAAUGACAGUACCUGUAGAAUAAGCUCCGGCUAACUACGUG